rnacentral:rRNA from 1 species
UACGUAGGUGGCAAGCGUUGUCCGGAAUUAUUGGGCGUAAAGCGCGCGCAGGUGGUUUCUUAAGUCUGAUGUGAAAGCCCACGGCUCAACCGUGGAGGGUCAUUGGAAACUGGGGAACUUGAGUGCAGAAGAGGAAAGUGGAAUUCCACGUGUAGCGGUGAAAUGCGUAGAGAUGUGGAGGAACACCAGUGGCGAAGGCGGCACUCUGGGCCAGUACUGACACUGAGGAGCGAAAGCGUGGGGAGCGAACAGG